rnacentral:lncRNA from 1 species
UCAAACAUUUAUUAUUAUCCCCAAAAUCUGGAAAUCAUCAUCACAAGAACAUCUAUCCUCAAAUUACUAAAGCUAAGAGUAUCUAAGAAACUAAACAUAAAUAAUAGCUAGUCUAUGCCAGAACUUCAAGGCAUCAAAACAUGAAGAAGAAGAUCCAGUCCAAGCUAGAAGCUUUAGCUCACCCUGAAAUCUGGUGUGACGAAGACUGGCUAGAGUUGCGGUUGAGUUGAAGAUGACGGUACGUUUGCUGCACUUCACAAAUAACAAAAAAGAAAACAUACAAGUAGGGGUCAGUAGAAAACACGGGUACUGAGUAGAUAUCAUCGGCCAACUCAAAAUAGAAACAAUAUGCAUCAAGUAAUAAUAUAAAAUCAACUACAUUACUCAACAUGUAGCAACAACAAGUACUAUAAUCGUUAAUAAGUACCGCCAAGUUCACAUAUGAGGGCUCAAGCCUCCAUAUCAUACUCAUUUGGGAAUUAGGUUCAUUAGAUUGAGUAUAUUAACAUCUUUCAAGAUUCAUCACCUUUAUUCUUGUGUCGGUACGUGACACUCCGCUCCCCUACUACUAUGUGUCGGAACGAGACACUCCGAUCCCCUAAUUCUACGUGUCGGUUCGUGACACCCGAUCCCCUAAUUCUACGUGUCGGUUCGUGACACCCGAUCUCCUAAUUCUACGUGUCGUUUCGUGACACUCGAUCCCCUAAUUCUACGUGUCGGUUCGUGACACCCAAUCCACUAAUCUCAUUCUAUUAAUUCAUCAAACCUUCUUUUAUACCAAGGCAUCUUCAAUCUCAUCAAUCUCAUCCCUUUAGUUCAUCAAGCCCUCUUUUAUACCAAAACAUCAUCAUUAACAAGGGAUUUUCAAGAUUUGGGAUUCAAUAGCUUCAUCAUGCUUAUUUCAUCACAAUUAUAUAAUCACAUUCAUGCAAACAUACAAUUAAGCAUAUAGAAGACUUUACAAUACAACCCAACACAUAUCAUUCGCUAUUAAGAGUUAACUACGAAUAGUAUAAAAACCAUAACCUACCUCCACCGAAGAUUCGUGAUCAAGCAAGCAAUUUCCCCAAAGCUUUGUUAUCCUCUUCGUUCCUCUCUCUCUCUUGAUCGAUUCUCCCUCUCUUUCUGUUCUUUUCUUUUUCUUAUUCAAACCCUCUUUCUUUUACCCUAAUUAACAUAUAAUUAAGAAUGAAAGAUGGCAAUAAUAACCCACUAAUUUACUCAAGGUUACCUCUUUUAGAUCCCAAGUAAUUGAGUUAUUAAUAUUAAACCACUAACUUUAUAAUUAUAAGCCGGAAUAGUCCAAAACGUCCCUUAAAACAUUAAAGAAAUCCGACUCUGUCUGGGAUUACGCAGCGUGUGACGGGCCGUCGUGCCUCCGACGGUCCGUCCUGCUGCUCCGUCACAGAGUUCAGAGAUUCAAUUCUCUGAAGAGUCUGUGACGGUCCGUCCUGCCAUUCCGUUACGAAGUUCAGAGAGUCGAUUUCAGUACCUAUUUUUCAGAAUUUCUAAGUGUUUUGAAACGAGAUCCCCUCGACGGUCCGUCGUGCCCAUGACGGUCCGUUGUGGGUUCCGUCAUCUCAGCCUGUUUUUUCAGAAAUAAAAUCUGCUGCUCAAAACAACUAAACAGGUCGUUACAGUCGUCUCAGCCAGUUUUUCCAGAAAUAAAAUCUGCUGCUCAAAACGACUAAACAGGUCGUUACACCAAUACACCAAUCUCUUCGGUUAGUGCAGUGCGUAUUUAAUUUAAUGACAUCUGUCAAUUCUAAAAAUCUAAUAAUCCAUAUUUAUUUGAAUAAACAUCCUUUAAACCAUGGUUAAACAAUUUCUCUCUCUUCAAUCUUUUCUUUCUAUUUAUUAUUAUGCAGGAAACAACCUUCCUCUCUUUAGAGGAUUAUUUUAUUAAGUAAAUUUAAUUACGCAAAAUAAAUUACAAAAUUCAUUUUUUUGAUUCUUUUCUCACCAAUAUUAAUUGAAGAUACUUGUUACCCUCCUAAAAUACUUUAGUAAAAGCAUAUAAUAAGAUCUAAAAUAUUUUUUGGGUUAUGAAAUUAUACAAGUUCAAGUAAGAAGAGUAAACUGAAUUCGUUUGAUGGUUGUUUAGGCAUCAUCAUAAUUCGUUGUCUAAACAACCAUCGAGCGAAUUUUGCAGCAAAAAGCAAACAUCAUUUUUAUUUUCUACUCAAUUAUACUGUUUUUCACGCCCUUACAAUUAUGGUGAAAUCCGAGCAACUCUCUCAUCAAUAAAUUGUACUUACAAAAAAAAAGCUUUUAUAUAUAUAUAUAUAUAUAUAUAUAUAUAUAUAUAUAUAUAUAUAUAUAUAUUAGUUCGUUUCGAAAGAGUGACAUAUUUUCAAAUUUAAAACUUUGCUUUGAACAUGCUUUUUAAUCUUAAAUAUCCCAACUCUUUGAUAUUUAUAUAAGAGAACAAGACAUCAAAUAUUGUCUUUCUCACGACUCAAAGUAGAAGUAAUCAUCUCAAAAUCUCAGAAAUGUUUGGAUAUUCACAAAGAGAUUAAAACAUCAAAUAUUAUCUCUCUCAAAGUUGAUGCUCGAUAUUUGUAACGAUCAAAUACACCACAAGAUUGUCUUUUAAGUCAUCUUACAUUGGAAAAUCACAAGAUAUAUAGAAUUAUACUCACAUAUAAUCAUCCAUCAAAAAAAAUAUAUAUUCAUCAUAGAAAAGUCAUUCGUUUCAAAACUAUAACAAACAACAAACUUUAUAGUUACACAAAUAUUAUAAUUUAGUGAAUACUUUUGUAUGCGUGUGAAGAAAGGUUCAAGUUAGAAUUUUACUCGAUAAUAUGGUAUAAGUUUCGAUGACUGUGAGAUCGACUAUUCUGAAGAAAACAUAAUCAUGCCUCCUGAUCUAUAGAUCAAUUUUAGCGGUAAUUAAGCUAUUAAAUAUUAAUUAAUUGUCGCAAGAGAUCAUUUUUGGUGUAGUGUGUAUCCAUACAACAAUGUAAUGUUACUAAAAAUCAAGUGGCAAUGAACUCAAAACAAAAACCAACAAGUUUCCCUUCCGUUCCAACUUUUCUCGACAUACUAUCAUAAGAUGAGGUGUAGUGUGUGAGGUUACUUCUUCCUUAAUCAAAGGUCUCAGUUUUGAGCUCUGGUUGACAGAAAGUGCUACGUGGGGUCUGAUUAGGAUAAAGUAUAAGUAGGGACAAACUCACAUUGAAGGCUCUGGAUGCUCGAGAAUCCAUUGAUCUUGUAUCGAACCAUUUGUAUAUUUAUGUAGAAGUAUGAGAGAAUGGUAUAAAAUGAAACAGUGAGCACUAGAAAACAAACUUUUACUUGGUGUAGUGGUCGUUUGUGGACGCUCAAAGUUGUAUAUUGCAUGUGCAUACACUGAAUCCUACCUCAAAGGCAGAGAAGUUAUUUCAGAUUGACCCCCAUUCAUGGAUAAAAGAUAGUUCAAAACAAUCCUACAAAAAAAAGUAACAGAAGUAUAAGAAAUAGUAGAUAGUAACAAACACGGGAUAGUAUUAGGACAAUAAUUACAAUAAAAUGAUAUGAUAGUCGCAAUGAAAUAAAUAAUAGAUAGUAACAGAAAUUGAAGGACCGGACACUAAGGGAGAAUGGUACAACAACUAGUAUGAUGGAUAACAAGACAACAACAUUACUACAACCUACAUACUAACCUUUUUGCUCUAUUUGUGCCUCCCACAACUUCUUAUUCGAGAUAAUCUUUUCAAUAAGCAGAAAUUGUGUCAUGUUACCUUUUUCAAAAUUUUAAUCGAUCUUUCUCUAUCUCCUGAAAUCAUACAUCGUUAACCUCUCACCUGCUCACUAGGAUAUCCAUAUGAACUACAAAGCCUGACCAUAGAUUCUUGGGAGAAAAUUAGGCUCAAAUUCACACUCGAAAGUCUGAAGUUUCAAUUUUAACAAUACAAACUUCAAACGUUCAAAUUUGGAAUAAGGAUCUAGUCGUUCAAAUUUUUUAAAUAGAAAGCUUGAAAAUAAUAAGAUGAACACACUGAAAUUUGCACAAUGAAAUUAAGUUUUAAACAACUUUUCAU